CGAUAAGUUUGAUCCUGGCUCAGGACGAACGCUGGCGGCGUGCUUAACACAUCAAGUCACGGGGGUCCGCAAGGCAACCGGCGAACGGGUGCGUAACACGUAGCGACCUGCCUGGAAACGGGGGAUAGCCGGCCCAACGGCCGGGUAAUACCGCAUACGCUGCUUGCGAGGCAUCUCGUGGGCAGGAAACCUCCGGGGUUUUCAGAGGGGCUCGCGGCCUAUCAGCUAGUUGGCGGGGUAAUGGCCCACCAAGGCGACGACGGGUAGCUGGUCUGAGAGGAUGGCCAGCCACAUUGGGACUGAGAGACGGCCCAGACUCCUACGGGAGGCAGCAGUGGGGAAUCUUGCGCAAUGGCCGAAAGGCUGACGCAGCGACGCCGCGUGUGGGAGGAAGCUCUUCGGGGUGUAAACCACUGUUGCCCGGGACGAACAGCUCUUUUCGAGGAGCCUGACGGUACCGGGUGAGAAAGCACCGGC
rnacentral:rRNA from 1 species